rnacentral:lncRNA from 1 species
GACUCCCAGGAAACAGGAUGAUUACUUCCAGAAUCUUAAGGGAUCCGGUCCUUCCUCAGAGUAAGCUCAGCCUCAACAAGGAGCUUUUGGAGCCUCCAUACAGGGUUUCUGUCCUUCCAGACUGAGGAAAGGGCAGGGGGACCUUGGCCUCUUUCCUUGGUGUGAGGAUUCCCACAUAUACACAGACAAUUUAUAGUUAAUGUGUGAAGCUGCUUGACGUGGGACCAUCAGUG